AUUAGCUAGUUGGUGGGGUAAAAGCCUACCAAGGCAACGAUCAGUAGCCGGCCUGAGAGGGUGAACGGCCACAUUGGGACUGAGACACGGCCCAAACUCCUACGGGAGGCAGCAGUGGGGAAUAUUGCACAAUGGGGGAAACCCUGAUGCAGCGACGCCGCGUGAGUGAAGAAGUAUUUCGGUAUGUAAAGCUCUAUCAGCAGGGAAGAAAUACUGACCAUAGGGUCAGCAGACGGUACUUGACUAAGAAGCCCCGGCUAACUACGUGCCAGCAGCCGCGGUAAUACGUAGGGGGCAAGCGUUAUCCGGAUUUACUGGGUGUAAAGGGAGCGUAGACGGCAGCGCAAGUCUGAAGUGAAAUGCCAGGGCUUAACCCUGGAACUGCUUUGGAAACUGUGCAGCUAGAGUGCAGGAGAGGUAAGUGGAAUUUCUAGUGUAGCGGUGAAAUGCGUAGAUAUUAGGAGGAACACCAGUGGCGAAGGCGGCUUAUUGGACUGUAACUGACGUUGAGGCUCGAAAGCGUGGGGAGCAAACAGGAUUAGAUACCCUGGUAGUCCACGCUGUAAACGAUGAUUACUAGGUGUUGGGGGACCAAGGUUCUUCG
rnacentral:rRNA from 1 species